AGCUUGUUGGCGCAGCGGAAGCGCGUGAGUCUCUCCCAAGUAGUGAUUGACGAUGAUUCCCGCUCACUGACCAUCGUACAGGCCGGGCUCAUAUCAUUGAAACCCGGAGGUCAUCGGAUCGAGGCCGAUACAAGCUA
rnacentral:tRNA from 1 species